UGUUUAUCAGUCGAAUACAGGUGGAAAGUAGGAUACGCACCGCACCGCCUCACCGCCAGAGGCCCACCGCCUAAUCACCCUACUACGCCACCACUGGAAAGAUUAUAUAAGAGAUACCUACGGAUUCCCAAAUCAUCCUUGUGUUGCCACGCUACUUUCUUUUUUCUUUCUUACCGCGCCAUGGCUUCCUUCUCUCGCUCCCAACCCAGCCCCAGCUCCAGCCCCCGGAAAGGCUCCGAGAUAUGUCCAUAGCCUAUAGCUGAAGAAUGAUGGAACACAUGUAGACCAAUUUCAUUGCCCUUCACAACCAAAGUGAUCUUAUAGUUACAAAAUUCACAGUAAAGAAGAAAGAUCCAAGCACACGAGGGCAAAGUUGAACUUAUCUUUGAGAAGAUCUCAUCUCAAUAGCUCUUUGAAUCAAGUAUAUGAUGAAGACAAGAGUCUAAAUCAUUCUCUACUGCACUUACCUUUUCUAGGUAAGUUUUCUUUUUAUUACUUCUUUUCUUUUUAUAAUCAUCAAGUCUCAUAAGAAAAUUUCUAAAUACUUCACAGGGUAAACUGUUUUUUAGUUCCAACCCCUUAUUAUUUUAGUUCCGUAAGUGAAGGCUGUCGCAAACUAGUCCCAUAAGUGGAAAAUUUUUAUUGUUUUAGUCCUCCAGCACCGAAGAUGUCCGCGUGGCUCGCUGGAAGUUACGUGUCAGCCAGGUGUCCCGCCAGGUUAGCGACACCUGGCGGACACGUGGAUUUUACUUCUUUUUAUAUUUUUUAAAUUUUUUUCAAUUGGACCAAAUAAAAAAAUUUAAAAAGGCAAAUAAAAUUAAAAAUAAAUUUUUAAAAAAAUUUAAAAAAAUUAAAAAAUAAAAUAAAAUCCACGUGUUGCCAGGUGUUGCUGACCUGGCGGACACGUGGCCUCUGGCGAGCCACGUGGGCGUUUCCAGCGCCGGAGGACUAAAACGUGAAAAUUUUUCACUUUUGGGACUAUUUUGCGACAGGCUCUACUUACGGGACUAAAACAAUAAGGGGGUCCAGUUACGGGACUAAAAAACAGUUUACCCAUACUUCACAAUAUCUAUUCUUUUUAUUCCUUGAAAAGAUAUUAUUGUUGACCACAAAAUCUUUAGGCUUUUCCAUUAUUCACUAUCCUCAAUAUAUUUAAUUGAAAGUGAAGAUGGGUGUAAUUUACAUUUCAAAAUUGAAGGAUUAUGAAAGCCAGCCCAAACAGUGAUCUUUGUAUUGUGGAGUUAGAAUUUCCCCAGAUUGACGCCUAAAAUGAGACUUUGUUGUUAGAUAACUUUUAAAGCAAAUUUAACAAAGAUUCUACAGCUUGUGAUCUGAUAAAAGAUGAAUAAUAUAUAUAGGUACAUAGGCAAGCCACUGCAAUCUCGCAACUCUAUGUUACCAAUAAAUUGUAAUCAACACAAAAAUCAAGGAUCAUGAAAUUAGUUCUACCAGAUAGGUUGCAUUCAGAGAUGGAGUAUUCAAAGUCUACUAAGAUUGUGUUUAAGAAAAUUUAGAAAAUCAGACCCUGAAUUCAUGCUCAUUGGUUAUAUCUCCUAUUUAAGGGUUAGGGUGAGCUUGAAAUGAUAAGGCCUGAAUCAUAUGAUCUAUACACUAAUUAAAUUUAACCAUGAGCUCGGAAUGGCCCUCAAGUCAAUGGCCUUUAUUCAUGCUUCGUAUUCAAAAGGCACACGUCCUAUCUUGAACAUUUCUACUAAGUUCAUUCUUUUUGUACCUAUUUCAUCUCUAAUGGUUAGCAUUUAAUGCCUAAUGAUCAAUAUUUGUCUCUAUCAGGCUAUAUAAAUUCAGCAGCAAUAAUAAUAGAGCCUUAACUUUUUUUGGCUUUGCUCAAAUAUGAUUUUGGUUGCGUUUUAGUAGAUGAUGGCUAUAUAUAACACAACUAAAAUCACAUUUGAGCAAAGCCAAAAAGAUUAUAAAAUGCUAUUAUUGUGGCUGCUAAAUGAUUUUACAUAGCCUGAUGGAGAAAAAUAUUGAGCAAUAGGCAUUAUAUUGGCCAUUAAGGAUGAAAUAGGUAUAAAAAGAAUGAACUUAGAAGAAAUAUUCAAGAUAGGACGCAUGCCUUAUGAAUAUGAAGCAUGAGUAGAGGCAAUUUACUUGAGGGUCAUUCUAAGCUUAUGGUUAAAUUUGAUCAGUGUCUAGAUCAUAUAAUUCAGGCCUUAUCAUUUCUAGCUCUCCUUGAUCCUUAAACACAAGAUAAUAAACCAUGAGCAUGAAUUCAGGGUCCGAGUCUCUAAAGUUUCAUAAAAAAAAUGAUAUAUUGUUAGAAUCACGUUCAAACAAAAUUAACAAAAAAACAAAAUUCUUUGAAAAACUCCAAAAACACAAUAAGAAGGAACAUGAUGGAGUUUAGGAAGGUUGCAUUAACUAUACACCGUGUAGAAUAUUUAGGUAGCGUGUAUAGGAAAAUUAAUACUUCCAUAUAAACAUUUACGCACAGCCUUGUCCCCAACUUUCCAUCAAGCUUCCAUAUUUAUAUAUAGUAAUAUUUUUUUAAGAUAUUCAUUUCACCACAAUCGAGCUUAAAAACAAUACUCUAGAAAGUAAAUUUUACACAAAUUCACCAAACCAACAAAUGUACAAUAGAGCAUCAUCCAAUUAUCGCACAAGGUGAAACUCAAAGAAUCAAAACCAAGGAUAAAUUGACAACACGGAAAAAAGUCCAAAGCACAAAAUUAAAAGCAUACAAAAAAUAUUGAUAUCUCAUAUACAAGAACUAUUCAUCGAAAUAAAAUCAAACAAACAACUACAAGGGCUUGAUUUCAUACUUGCCAGUUAGAAUUGAUUUCAUAACCCUUGAUUCUUGGGUUGAUUACAGAUUCUUGGAUGUUGAGUUGUAGGACUACGGUGACUUGCCUAUGUACCUGCAUGAAUUAUUUAUUAUUCAUCACAUCACAAGUUGUAGAAUGUUUGUUAGACUUUCUUUGUAACUCAUCCAAAAAACUAAAAACAAACUAUAAUUUUAGGCCCCAAUCUAGGAAAUUUUAUCUCCAAAGUACAAAGCUCAUAGUUUGGGUUGGCUCUUCAUAUUCCUUAUUUGAAAUGUAAAUUACACCCCUCUUCAAUUUUAUUUUAAAAUAUUAAGGAUAAUAAGUUAUGGAAAAUCCUAAAGCUUUUGUCGUAAAAAUAAUAUCUUUUCAAGGUACACAGAGGUUAGAUUUUGCAAAGUAUUUGGAAAUUUUCCUAUGAAAUAUGACGAUCAUAAAAAAAGAAAAGAAGUAAGAAAAAAUUAGUAAAGAAAAAUUUAUUAGAGAAUGAUUUAGCUACUCGUCUUGUCCAUCUACUUGGUUCAGAGAGCUACUGGGAUGAGAUCACCCCAAAGAUAAGUCCAACUGGGGAAAUAUAUUAAACUUGUUAGGGCUAGCAUAUGAGGCAAACUUUUCAAUUGUUCCACCUUUCAACUAGCUCUCAAAUGUUCCAACCAAGUCCAUGCCAUUUUUUGAAAAAGACUUUGCAAACACGAUGGUCAUUAAUGCUUUAAUUAUUGGCAUUCACUUCUGGCUAACCAUCAUUAAAUUUCUUGUAUGUUGUUUCACGACAAGUAUUUAUAGCAGCAACCACAGCUGGGGAUCCUAAUUCAUAAUGAACAAAAUGUAGUGUAGUACCUAUGUACGUACCCUUACAUGGCACUAGAAGGAAUAAUGAGAAUCAUGAAGGCAACAAUGAGAAAUUAUUACCUCCACCAUCGUGUGCUUGGAUUCCUUUUCGUUAGUGUGACUUUUGUAACUAUAAGAUCACUAUAAAAAAAAUAUUUAAUUAGCUACAAUAUUUUUAACUAUGAAAUAUAUUCAUUGUUAAAAAGUGUCAUUCAACUACAAAAUUUAAUUUUCUUGCUAAAAAUAAAUUAUGUACUAAAAAAUUAAUUUUUUUCGCUAAAAUUGUUUUUCUAAGAAAUUUUAUUUUCAUUGCACAAGGGUUUUUAACUAUAAAAUCAUAUUUUCAUAGUUAAAACCAUUUGGCUAAAAAAAUCAGUCAUUAUUGUUGUUAAUUUCUUUUUUAUUAUUAUAGCAAAAGAGUUUUUGCUAAGAAAUCACAUUUUCGUAACUAUAUCUCAUUUUCAUACUUUCAUCACAAAAAAAAAAAAGAUUAUCUUGCAUUACAAAAGUCAAAGUUGUUGCCAAAGACAUUUACCAACAUGGUAUAGGAAAUUAAACUCAUUUCCUCGCAAAAGGCUUUUUUUUUCUAAAAAAUCAUUAUCUUUUGCUACAAUUUUUUUUUUUUUUAGUUGAAUUUCAACUUUUUUGUAGUGGAUAGACAUCUUGAUGCCCUCGUGUGAAUUGAUUUCAUAACCCUUGAU